UCAGUGAGCUGCUAUUCAGACUCAGAAAGUAGCUUGGAGAAUACUCCAGACGUUAGGCUUUGCGAGUUUUUGUUUGUUUACAUAGAAAAGUCUCUUUUAAAUUUCCUUAUUCUUACACUGCAAAGAGACCUAACCUUGAUGGGUCCCAUCUGCAAUGCUCCUCCUGAAAAGAGACAGAGCUGUUUAACUGAACUGACCUAUUUGGAGGACGAAUAGACUGAUUGAAAAAGGUGCCCAGGAAGUCCUGGAACUGAGUCCUGGGGCAAGGUUCUGGAAGUUGGGACAAGAAGGUAAGAGUGUGUUGAGACUGCUGUGUUAAUAAUGAGGAGUGUGGUUGAGAUAUUUGUGAAGUAUCAAUGUCCAAAACCAAAGAGGGGAACAGCAAAGAGAGUCAUUGCAAAUUUGCACAAAUGUCCAAGUUGCUGAGCAAAAGGUAGAAGCCAAUUUAAAGCUAAGAUACUCUGGCUGGAGCCUGCAGGAAGACAUACAUGCCUUAUGUAUAAAUUGCCAUCUAAACUGAGAGAGCCCACAAAUAUCCCUCAGAGCCAU
rnacentral:lncRNA from 10 species